GUGUCAGCAGCCGCGGUAAUACGUAGGUGGCGAGCGUUGUCCGGAAUUAUUGGGCGUAAAGAGCGCGUAGGCGGCUUGUCAGGUCUGACGUGAAAUGCCGGGGCUUAACCCCGGACGUGCGUCAGAAACCGGCUUGCUAGAGUCUGGGAGAGGGAAGUGGAAUUCCUGGUGUAGCGGUGAAAUGCGCAGAUAUCAGGAGGAACACCGGUAGCGAAGGCUGCUUCCUGGAACAGUACUGACGCUGAGGCGCGAAAGCUAGGGGAGCAAACAGGAUUAGAUACCCUGGUAGUCCUAGCCGUAAACGAUGGACACUAGGUGUCGGGAGUGUCGACUCUCCCGGUGCCGAAGCUAACGCAUUAAGUGUCCCGCCUGGGGAGUACGGCCGCAAGGUUAAA
rnacentral:rRNA from 1 species